AACGAACGCUGGCGGCAUGCCUAACACAUGCAAGUCGAACGAUGCCUUCGGGCAUAGUGGCGCACGGGUGCGUAACGCGUGGGAAUCUGCCCUUGGCUUCGGAAUAACAGUUAGAAAUGACUGCUAAUACCGGAUGAUGUCCCCCUGAGAGAUCUUGGGGACCAAAGAUUUAUCGGCCAGGGAUGAGCCCGCGUAGGAUUAGGUAGUUGGUGGGGUAAAGGCCUACCAAGCCGACGAUCCUUAGCUGGUCUGAGAGGAUGAUCAGCCACACUGGGACUGAGACGCGGCCCAGACUCCUACGGGAGGCAGCAGUGGGGAAUAUUGGACCAUGGGGGGAACCCUGAUCCAGCAAUGCCGCGUGAGUGAUGAAGGCCUUAGGGUUGUAAAGCUCUUUUACCAGGGAUGAUAAUGACAGUACCUGGAGAAUAAGCUCCGGCUAACUCCGUG
rnacentral:rRNA from 1 species